rnacentral:rRNA from 1 species
GGAUGCGAUCAUACCAGCACUAAAGCACGGAUCCCAUCAGAACUCCGAAGUUAAGCGUGCUUGGGCGAGAGUAGUACUAGGAUGGGUGACCUCCUGGGAAGUCCUCGUGUUGCAUUCC